GCACCGCCUCGAGCUAGGGCCGCUGCUGCCGCGGCUGCCCCCUAUCCCCCCCCGCCACUUGGUUUCUUCCUCAUCCCCCGCCGCAGUCUCUUACGCUAGUUUUGCCGAAAACAAACAACAGCUGCCAAGGAAACAACGCUCCGCAGAAUGCGCAUGCGCCAAACGUGGAGCGAACAGCUCCUUUAGAAGCCGGGCGUGGAGAAGCAGUGUACAUCCGGGACUUUUUCGCAGGCUUCCCACCUCAACGGCAACGAAAACACAUGCGCCACUACUGAGGCCCGAAGAUGAAACGCGCGUGCGCGCCUCAGAACUCAGGGAGGCCGUUGGGGAAGGAAAGGCGCAUGCGCCAGAGAGUGAGGCUGUGCACACUACGCGGGGAAAUGAGGACAAGACGCGAUGCGCAUGCGCGGCGCGUGACGUUGGGGUUUAUGAUGCCUGCCGCGCCGCCCAGCCCAGCCAGGCGCCGCAGUGUUCAGCGCGGCGGUUGUUGGACGACGCCAGCGGUCUCUUCUGCGCGGGUUUAAUACUCCCGGGGCCGACCCCUGGCGGCGUUGCGAUUGGGAGGGGUCUGCCCGGGGCUCCGGACUGGAGAAGGGGAACCUCGCUCUCCCGGCCCCUCAAGUGACCCUUCUGGGCAGCCGAGGAGCGCGCUGCUGGGCACAGGGGUCAGGUUUCUAAUGCUAUGAAAGGAGCAGUCCUUGACUCUGGCAAUCUUGUAAACUGAAGUCUCUUAAAGAAGAAGAAGUACAACACAAUAAUUAGCCGUGCAAGCUUACAUACACCUUCCUACCCAAGUGCUUCAAUGUCUAGGAGUGAAAAGAGCCUGGAAGAGCAGAUGUGUGAGGAGAUGAAAACAACUGAACAAUCUUACUACACUUCCAUUUGAAAUCUCUAAAAGUAGGAGCAUCAGUCUGCAGACUACACAACUUUCCUGAGAUCAGUUAACUGUACCCACACCCAGCUUAUCCACCUCUGGAGAUUGUGAGUGAAUAGUAGGAUUUCCUGGAAUAAAUUUACUGAAUGAGCAUUGACCAAAAUGUUAAUAAAUGACUGCAGGGCAGUUAUUGAACAUAUAUCAGCUGUUAAAGUCCUCGUCAGCCCUGUUCAUUGUGCAGAAGGUCAAUUAUAAAGCAGACAGAUGAAGUUGUGGCAGAUCAAGAUCGAGAUCUGUGUAUCUAGAUACCAGAAUGUCAUCAGCUAAUUCUGAUUCCUGUCUUAGACAGAAAUUUGUUGUCACCCCUUCCUCCCCAUCCCCCAGGUCCCGUGUUAGAGGUAUAAAGCAUGCUGGCCAUCUGCGGAGGAGUGAUUUGCACCCCAAUGGAACUUGCCAGGCCUCUGUCUGUGCAGCAGGAUGUCUGUCUGGCAACUAAGAUAUGAGUGUUCAAGGCAGCAGCGAUGACAGCAGUUAAAAACAGGAAAAGAAAUUUAAGUUUUCAGUAGCUAAAAUUACAGCAUCUUCUUAACAUCAUUGGUUUGAUUUUUGUCACAAAUGAGGCGACGCUUCAACAAGCCUAGCAAGUUGCGGUCUUGCACCAGUUGAGAACAAGAUGACUGCAAGGGUGGAGUAAUGUCCAACA